UUGAUUCAAAGUUCAAACAGUGUUGUCUUCCCCUCCCAGGAGAUGAAGGUCAGUGAGGGUGAGGUGAGCGGUGCCAAGCCUUGCCUCACACUGGGAACGGGCUUUGUGUGGGAAGUUCCCGACACGCCGGAGCUCAUGGACUCCUCAGACAGUGAGGACCAAGACGUGCCAAAGAAGAAAGAGAAGAGAAUGCGGAAGUCAGAAAUGAUAGCCCAGUCCAAGGAGGAGGAGCAACGGCUGCACCAGCUGGAGUUGUCGCGGCUGGAGGAGGGGCGCUCGCCACAGUCAGCUAUGGACUUUGAGGCCAUGCUCCAGGGUAGUCCAAACUCAUCAGCCGUAUGGAUACAGUUCAUCAGUUUCCACCUUGAGAGUGCCGAGGUGGACAAGACCAAGGCAGUGGCACGGCGAGCCUGCAGGUGAUGGACGCACAGGAGGAGGAGGAGGAGCGCCUGAACGUGUGGACAGUGCUGCUGAGGCUGGAGGGGCUCUACGGCGGAUUUGACUUUCACUGGUAGCCUGGUAACAUACACUUCCAGGUCUUUCUCUGCCUCUGUGGUGGAUAGUGGAGUGUUUCCCAUGUGGUAUUGGUGUGCUGGAUAUCCCUUCACUGGUAGCCUGGUAACAUACACUCCCAGGUCUUUCUCUGCCUCUGUGGUGGAUAGUGGAGUGUUUCCCAUGUGGCAUUGGUGUGCUGGAUAUCCCUUCACUGGUAGCCUGGUAACAUACACUCCCAGGUCUUUCUCUGCCUCUGUGGUGGAUAGUGGAGUGUUUCCCAUGUGGUAUUGGUGUGCUGGAUAUCCCUUCACUGGUAGCCUGGUAACAUACACUCCCAGGUCUUUCUCUGCCUCUGUGGUGGAUAGUGCAGUGAGUGUUUCCCAUGUGGCAUUGGUGUGCUGGAUAUCCCUUCACUGGUAGCCUGGUAACAUACACUCCCAGGUCUUUCUCUGCCUCUGUGGUGGAUAGUGCAGUGAGUGUUUCCCAUGUGGUAUUGGUGUGCUGGAUAUCCCUUCACUGGUAGCCUGGUAACAUACACUCCCAGGUCUUUCUCUGGCUCUGUGGUGGAUAGUGGAGUGUUUCCCAUGUGGUAUUGGUGUGCUGGAUAUCCCUUCACUGGUAGCCUGGUAACAUACACUCCCAGGUCUUUCUCUGCCUCUGUGGUGGAUAGUGGAGUGUUUCCCAUGUGGUAUUGGUGUGCUGGAUAUCCCUUCACUGGUAGCCUGGUAACAUACACUCCCAGGUCUUUCUCUGCCUCUGUGGUGGAUAGUGCAGUGAGUGUUUCCCAUGUGGUAUUGGUGUGCUGGAUAUCCCCUCCCAAGGUGCAUGACUUUACAUUUUUCUUCAUUGAAUUGUGGCUGCCACUUUUUGUUCCAUUCCUGUAGCUUGGUGAUGUUGUAGGAAAUCUGCAGUCAAGGGGUUAACUCUAUCUCAUGUCCUUAGCAAUAGCCUUCAAUAAGCUUCUGGUGCUAAUGGCGUUGUGUCCCUCCAGGAGGCCGAGAGGGUGUACUUCAACAUGUCCAAGAAGUUCAGUCAGGAGCUGAGUGUGUGGG